rnacentral:lncRNA from 1 species
CCAAGCAUUCUGCCGUGAACCCAUUUGGUGCUCAAUAAAAUCAUUGCCCUUUUUUUGGUGUUUUGUUGGAGACAAAACGGAAACACCAAAUGGCUGGUGGAAGUGGUAGGAAAAAACGAGACCAAAAACCCAGUGGCUCUGAAGAGGGCUUCUCAUCCUCAGCACUGCUGACAUUUGCGCCAGAUAUUUCUUUGGUUUGGAGGCUGUCCUGUGCACUGUCGGAUGUUUACCAGCAUCGUCAGUCUCUACUCUCCAGGAGGGAGUCACUGAAGGUUGGAGGACUGAUAUGCACCAAUACCUUUCCCACAAACAAGAGAUGCCUGAGAAAGACCUGGUCAUGCAGGAGGUGGUGAGUGGCUACUGGAAGAAAUAUGGUGGCUGGGGGAGGGGCAAGGGAGAAGCCUGCCUGCGGUUGAGCAGGCUAGCUGGAGAGCCAAGGUCGGUGCCCACUAGUGACUCUCCCGAGGGGUGUUGCCUUGGUGGGCUUCCCCGCUCUGGCCUUUUGUCACCUUGUUUGCUGAAUCCAGGUAAAAUGUUUAACCAAAUUGGAAAGCAAUUCCGGGGAGUUGGAGUCAGAUCUGUCCCUGCCCUUGCUGUUGCUAAUGAGCUGUAUGACCUUAGUUGAGCCAUUUGAUCUCUCUGCAACUGUUUCUUGGGCUGUGAAACAUGGGGGUUGGAGUCUCUGAUUUCUAAGAUCCUUUUCAGCUGUAAGUUCUAAGGCCUGUGAAUACCACAGUGUGAUUAAGCCAACUGGGUGGUGGUGAGGGCCUUGUAAGUUUCAGUCUUACUGCAAGCCAGCGAUAGAAUUCUCCACAUGUCUUUGUUAAGAACUCU